rnacentral:rRNA from 1 species
AAUGGCAGUUACUUUAGUUUGAAAAUAGUGAUCUCGAAAGCUAAGCAAGGUCGGGCCUGGUUAGUACUUGGAAGGGAGACCACCUAGGAAGACCGGGUGCUGUAGGCA